UAGAAAUUAGGCUUUUUCACAAACUUUGGAAAAGUUGAAAACCAUUUGAAAUUGGCUCUAGGGUGAUAGCUUGCCCUAGAUAAAGAACUCCCAUACCUUUACUAAGAUUCCCCAAGAAAUUUGAUGAAGAAAACGUCUUGCAUCCACAACCCUAGCUCCCACUUCUUCUUCUUCUUCUCUUCUUUCUCUCUUCUUCUCUUCUUCACUCAAGAACCCUAACUCUUACUCUUUUAAAAUGGAACAAAAAUGAUCCACAAACAGCCUAACACAACAAUAUAACCUCAAAAGAAAAUAUUUGUGAAAAGAC
rnacentral:lncRNA from 1 species